rnacentral:snRNA from 1 species
ACGCUCGCUUUGGGAACACAUAGAGUAAAACUGGGCAGAUAACAGAGAAGAUUAGCAUGGGCCCUGCUCAAGGAUGACGCGCAAAUUCACCCACUUUCUCCUUUU